rnacentral:piRNA from 1 species
UAAAAGUGGCGAACUGCCACAGGAAC